rnacentral:sRNA from 1 species
GACUGCCCUGGGUCCCAGGCCCUGGCUGUCCUGAGCAGAGGUGCUCAGGUGACCAGAAGUCAGCAGCUUCCCAGAAGCCCCGAAGCCGGGGCAUCCUCCACUCACUCUUCUGCUGUGUCUGCCGGGAUGAUGGGGAGGCCCUGCCUGCUCACAGCGGGGCGCCCCUGCUUGUGGAGGAGAAUGGCGCCAUCCCUAAGACCCCAGUCCAAUACCUGCUCCCUGAGGCCAAGGCCCAGGACUCAGACAAGAUCUGCGUGGUCAUCGACCUGGACGAGACCCUGGUGCACAGCUCCUUCAAGCCAGUGAACAACGCGGACUUCAUCAUCCCUGUGGAGAUUGAUGGGGUGGUCCACCAGGUCUACGUGUUGAAGCGGCCUCACGUGGAUGAGUUCCUGCAGCGAAUGGGCGAGCUCUUUGAAUGUGUGCUGUUCACUGCUAGCCUCGCCAAGUACGCAGACCCAGUAGCUGACCUGCUGGACAAAUGGGGGGCCUUCCGGGCCCGGCUGUUUCGAGAGUCCUGCGUCUUCCACCGGGGGAACUACGUGAAGGACCUGAGCCGGUUGGGUCGAGACCUGCGGCGGGUGCUCAUCCUGGACAACUCACCUGCCUCCUAUGUCUUCCAUCCAGACAAUGCUGUACCGGUGGCCUCGUGGUUUGACAACAUGAGUGACACAGAGCUCCACGACCUCCUCCCCUUCUUCGAGCAACUCAGCCGUGUGGACGACGUGUACUCAGUGCUCAGGCAGCCACGGCCAGGGAGCUAGUGAGGGUGAUGGGGCCAGGACCUGCCCCUGACCAAUGAUACCCACACCUCCUCCCAGGAAGAUUGCCCAGGCCUUUGUUAGGAAAACCCAUGGGCCGCCGCCACACUCAGUGCCAUGGGGAAGCGGGCGUCUCCCCCACCAGCCCCACCAGGCGGUGUAGGG